AGCGCUUUUAAUAUGAGUUCCUACCUAGAAAAUUUUCCCGCCCAAAUUGCAUUGAAAAAUAACGGAGAAAUAAAAGAAAAAAAAAUUAAAUUAAACAAACUUUUUUAGUGUCUAUAUUCUAAAUUUUUUUUUCCAAGUGAUUUUAAGUUCCAUCAUCAAAAGUGGAUUUUCGAAAAAAUUCUUCCAGUGCAUUAAUGCUGCGAAAUGAAUCUAUCGAUCAUUUUUUUAUUUCUUGGUAUUUGUUCAAUUCCCAUAAGAAGGAUAAAAGUGACUAAUAAUACGAAUAAACAGUGACAUAAUUUUUUUUCGUUUUAAUAUUAAAAAAAAAAGAAAUUACAAAAGAAGAGUUGUGCGCAAAAGAUUUGAAAAGUGAUGACAAUUGUUUGGAUAUUUAAAAAAAGAGAUAUACAUAAUUAUAUAUCUCUCGCACUGCUUGUGAAAAGUGAAUUAAUCUUCUCAAGAAAAUCUAAGGAAAAAAAGGAGAAAGACAGAGAGAGAGAGAGAUGCCAGAAAAUUCCAAGGAACUUAAAGUGCUUAGUGAAAAGUUUUUUAACUAUAUGAACAAUUCAGAGGAGAGAAAAAAGGAAUAUUUGUGAAAUCUUGAAAUUCCAGUUACUAAUUUACUAUAUAUACAGUUCCUAUUCUCUCUCUUUCUCAUAUUCCAUGCGAUUUUUUUUUAAAUUAAAUUAUAAAGAUAAAAGUCCAUCUGCAGAAAAUACUGGCAAAAAUUCAGUGAGGAAAAACUUCCCGACGAAUCACAUUCUCUGAUCUGAUGGCUUAUUGAAAAGAUAAAAUCAGCAUCAAAAUUGAUUCCGAGAGUAAAAUUCAAUGAACUGAAUACCAAGAAAAGAAAAUAAUCAUGAACGUUCCUGAAUAUUUAUUAAUUCAUUGCUCAAUCUAUUGCCUCUCAUUAUCAAAAGGAUAUUAUUAAAGAAAAAUUAAGGGACAAAAUUCAGUUGAUAUUGAAACUUAACUGAGCCGCGAACUUUUCUUUCGCCCUCAUCAAAGAGUCAAGAAAAGAAGAGAAAAAUGCCUCUGAUUGCGUCCCACAAAUUUAAAAGGUAGAAUUCAUACAGCUCUCUGACACUUACUCAAUUGAAUUAAUUGAAUUAACAUUCAAGCUUACUUGCGCAAUUAAGUUCCCCGAGUUCAGGGACGAAAAUGUACGAAAAGAGAUGACGAAGAGAGAAUAAAGUGACUUCUACUUUCUUGGCGAGUCUCCAUAACGACGCCGAAGAUGAUCGAACGAACACUUUCCAUUAUUUCUCUAACCGAUCACACGUGUCAACAGUGCCAACUUUAUUCCAAAUUCAAACAAAGCUUUUAUGUUUCCCUCUAAACAACAAAUUCCUCCCAUUUUCAAAACUAUAAAUGAAGAGGAAAAAAUUAAAAUUCAAAUUAACAAAAGUGAAGAAAAAAAGUGAAUUUAAAAAAGACUAAUUUUAAACACAAAUA